AUAUGUACUACCUCAAAGGCAUGCUCUUGAGGUGUCUCUGGAAUGUUUCACAUCUUAUGUCUUGCAAUCCAUGCUUCCAUCUAAAAUUACUCUAUUACAUAAUGUUGGACCACAAACCUUUCUCAAUUAAGGACUCCUCAUCUCAUUCUAUUUGCAAACAAAGACAAUAUAAACAAGCUUUUUUCCUA